rnacentral:rRNA from 1 species
AUUGAACGCUGGCGGCAUGCUUUACACAUGCAAGUCGAACGGUAACAGGCCGCAAGGUGCUGACGAGUGGCGAACGGGUGAGUAAUGCAUCGGAACGUGCCCAGUCGUGGGGGAUAACUACUCGAAAGAGUAGCUAAUACCGCAUACGAUCUAUGGAUGAAAGCGGGGGACCGUAAGGCCUCGCGCGAUUGGAGCGGCCGAUGUCAGAUUAGGUAGUUGGUGGGGUAAAGGCUCACCAAGCCAACGAUCUGUAGCUGGUCUGAGAGGACGACCAGCCACACUGGGACUGAGACGCGGCCCAGACUCCUACGGGAGGCAGCAGUGGGGAAUUUUGGACAAAGGGCGCAAGCCUGAUCCAGCAAUGCCGCGUGCAGGAAGAAGGCCUUCGGGUUGUAAACUGCUUUUGUACGGAACGAAACGGCUCUGGUUAAUACCCGGGGCUAAUGACGGUACCGUAAGAAUAAGCACCGGCUAACUACGUG